rnacentral:rRNA from 1 species
UACGAAGGGUGCAAGCGUUACUCGGAAUUACUGGGCGUAAAGCGUGCGUAGGUGGUGAGUUAAGUCUGUCGUGAAAGCCCCCGGGCUCAACCUGGGAAUGGCAAUGGAUACUGGCGAGCUAGAGUGUGUCAGAGGAUGGUGGAAUUCCCGGUGUAGCGGUGAAAUGCGUAGAGAUCGGGAGGAACAUCAGUGGCGAAGGCGGCCAUCUGGGACAACACUGACGCUGAGGCACGAAAGCGUGGGGAGCAAACAGG